rnacentral:rRNA from 1 species
UACGGGGGGGGGCAAGCGUUGUUCGGAAUUACUGGGCGUAAAAGGGCUCGUAGGCGGCCAACUAAGUCGGAUGUGAAAUCCCCAGGCUUAACCUGGGAACUGCAUCCGAUACUGGAUGGCUUGAAUCCGGGAGAGGGAUGCAGAAUUCCAGGUGUAGCGGUGAAAAUGCGUAGAUAUCUGGAGGAAUACCGGUGGCGAAGGCGGCAUCCUGGACCGGCAUUGACGCUGAUGAGCGAAAAGCUAGGGGAGCAAACGGGG